rnacentral:rRNA from 1 species
CCAAUAGCGUAUAUUAAAGUUGUUGCAGUUAAAAAGCUCGUAGUUGAAUUUCGAGACCGGUUUACUGGUCGUGCUUUUGUACGUACUGGUAUAAUCGGUUUCUCUCUUCUGACGAACUAUAAUGCCAUUAAUUUGGUGUUAUGGGAAAUCAGGACUGUUACUUUGAAAAAAUUAGAGUGUUUAAAGCAGGCUCACGCUUGAAUACAUUAGCAUGGAAUAA